GCAGACUUGGAAAUCAGAAAUGGAAAAUUCUACAAACGCUUUAUGUUACAAACUGUUUUAAGAAAACUUAGAAUUUGAAGAAUAUUUAGACGUGUUACCUUAAAAAGAUAAAAUAACGUUAUGUAGGUUUAGAACUGGUAAUCAUCGGUUACCUAUAGAAACCGGUAGAUGGCGUAGAAUUAUUAGACAGGAAAGAUACUGUGUACUUUGUAACUCUUAAGAGAUUUUCACUAUAUUCUUAACUGUACAGCUCUUACAGAAAGUGAAAGAGCUUGUCUUAAACCUUACUAUGUAAACCGAGUAAAUGUUUCGAAAUUCGGC
rnacentral:lncRNA from 1 species